rnacentral:rRNA from 1 species
UACGGGAGGCAGCAGUGGGGAAUAUUGGGCAAUGGGGGAAACCCUGACCCAGCAACGCCGCGUGGAGGAAGAAGGUUUUCGGAUCGUAAACUCCUGUCCUUGGUGAAGAGGAAGANACGGUAGCCAAGGAGGAAGCCCCGGCUAACUACGUGCCAGCAGCCGCGGUAAU